CGGGGUAAAGAUGGGAUUGGGCCUAAUAACUGUUAGGUGAGGGAUCCAAUGACUGCUUUGCACCUGCUUGUGAACGAUGGGUCUGGCUUAACUAAGAAGUACGGGUAAUAACUGUUAGGUGAGCCCACAUAACUUAGGGACCAAAAGGCUGCAAUAUGCUUAGAGAAGCAUCUGGGCAAAGAGUUAUCCAUGCAUCGAUGUUUAUUCGUAUUACCAAUAACUGUUAGGUGAGGUGCACGGCAUCGGUAGGAUUGCAGCACCC
rnacentral:lncRNA from 1 species